rnacentral:rRNA from 1 species
ACGUAGGGGGCAAGCGUUAUCCGGAAUUAUUGGGCGUAAAGAGUACGUAGGUGGUCUUUUAAGCGCAGGGAUAAAGGUAGAAAAUAAACCAUUGUUCGCCCUGUGAACUGGGAGACUUGAGUGCAGGAGAGGAAAGUGGAAUUCCUAGUGUAGCGGUGAAAUGCGUAGAUAUUAGGAGGAACACCAGUGGCGAAGUCGACUUUCUGGACUGUAACUGACACUGAGGUACGAAAGCGUGGGGAGCAAACGG